UAAGGGAUAUUGUGCAAUGGGCGAAAGCCUGACGCAGCAACGCCGCGUGGAGGAUGAAGGAUUUCGGUUCGUAAACUCCUUUUGGUGAGGACGAGGAAGGACGGUACUCACCGAAUAAGUCACGGCUAACUACGUG
rnacentral:rRNA from 1 species